rnacentral:rRNA from 1 species
CCUANGGGUGGCAGCAGUAGGGAAUCUUCCGCAAUGGACGCAAGUCUGACGGAGCAACGCCGCGUGAGUGAUGAAGGUUUUCGGAUCGUAAAGCUCUGUUGCCCUAGACGAACAGCAUGAGGAGUAACUGCCUUGUGUGUGACGGUAUAGGAGAAGAAAGCCCCGGCUAACUACGUGCCAGCAGCCGCGGUAAUACGUAGGGGGCAAGCGUUGUCCGGAAUUAUUGGGCGUAAAGCGCGCGCAGGCGGUCAAUUAAGUUGGGUGUUUAAGCCCGGGGCUCAACCCCGGUUCGCAUCCAAAACUGGUUGACUUGAGUGUAGGAGAGGAAAGUGGAAUUCCACGUGUAGCGGUGAAAUGCGUAGAGAUGUGGAGGAACACCAGUGGCGAAGGCGACUUUCUGGCCUAUAACUGACGCUGAGGCGCGAAAGCGUGGGGAGCAAACAGGAUUAGAUACCCGANUANUC